UGUGGUAAUAGGCAUUGUGUCUAAGUUAUAUAACAUUUGGUUUAGGCAAACUAAACUAAUUAUUUGACAUAUUAACAGACAAGAGAAGCCCAUUUCUGGAACAGCAGGGGCAUAAAAAAAUGUUCCAAAGUUGGGGCUAAAAAAAUGUCAUCAACAUUAUCUAUCAACAUUUAUUUUGUUAUUUCUUUACUUUCUGAUCAGUGUUUCACUAC
rnacentral:lncRNA from 1 species